AGAUAAUGACGGUACCCAAGGAGGAAGCCACGGCUAACUACGUGCCAGCAGCCGCGGUAAUACGUAGGUGGCGAGCGUUAUCCGGAUUUAUUGGGCGUAAAGCGAGCGCAGGCGGUUUCUUAAGUCUGAUGUGAAAGCCUUCGGCUCAACCGAAGAAGUGCAUCGGAAACUGGGAAACUUGAGUGCAGAAGAGGACAGUGGAACUCCAUGUGUAGCGGUGAAAUGCGUAGAUAUAUGGAAGAACACCAGUGGCGAAGGCGGCUGUCUGGUCUGUAACUGACGCUGAGGCUCGAAAGCAUGGGUAGCAAACAGGAUUAGAUACCCUGGUAGUCCAUGCCGUAAACGAUGAGUGCUAGGUGUUUGAAGGGUUUCGCCCCUCAAUGCCGCAGCUAACGCAUUAAGCACUCCCCCUGGGGAGUAUGACCGCAAGGUAGAAACUCAUAGGGAAUUGACGGGGGCCCGGCGCAAGCGGUGGAGCAUGAGGUUUAAUUCGAAGCAACGCGAAGAACCUUACCAGGUCUUGACAUCCUUUGACCACUCUAGAGAUAGAGCUUUCCCUUCGGGGACAAAGUGACAGGUGGUGCAUGGUAGUCGUCAGCUCGUGUCGUGAGAUGAUGGGUUAAGUCCCGCAACGAGCGCAACCCUUAUUACUAGUUGCCAGCAUUAAGUUGGGCACUCUAGUGAGACUGCCGGUGACAAACCGGAGGAAGGUGGGGACGACGUCAAAUCAUCAUGCCCCUUAUGACCUGGGCUACACACGUGCUACAAUGGAUGGUACAACGAGUUGCGAGACCGCGAGGUUUAGCUAAUCUCUUAAAACCAUUCUCAGUUCGGAUUGUAGGCUGCAACUCGCCUACAUGAAGCCGGAAUCGCUAGUAAUCGCGGAUCAGCAUGCCGCGGUGAAUACGAAACCGGGCCUUGCACACACCGCCCGUCA
rnacentral:rRNA from 1 species